AUGAACGCUGGCGGCGUGCCUCAUACCUGCAAGUCGAGCGAACAGAUGAGGAGCUUGCUCCUCUGACGUUAGCGGCGGACGGGUGAGUAACACGUGGAUAACCUACCUAUAAGACUGGGAUAACUUCGGGAAACCGGAGCUAAUACCGGAUAAUAUAUUGAACCGCAUGGUUCAAUAGUGAAAGACGGUUUUGCUGUCACUUAUAGAUGGAUCCGCGCCGCAUUAGCUAGUUGGUAAGGUAACGGCUUACCAAGGCAACGAUGCGUAGCCGACCUGAGAGGGUGAUCGGCCACACUGGAACUGAGACACGGUCCAGACUCCUACGGGAGGCAGCAGUAGGGAAUCUUCCGCAAUGGGCGAAAGCCUGACGGAGCAACGCCGCGUGAGUGAUGAAGGUCUUCGGAUCGUAAAACUCUGUUAUUAGGGAAGAACAAAUGUGUAAGUAACUAUGCACGUCUUGACGGUACCUAAUCAGAAAGCCACGGCUAACUACGUG
rnacentral:rRNA from 1 species